AGUCCCGGAACACUCUCGGCCCUCUUCAGCCACUCCCUCCCCAACCCACACGCCAUCAACCUCCAGACCCUCUCGCCGUGGCUUAGAGGUGUCUCUGACAACGUGGCACACUGGGAAGGCCUUCUUUCCUGCUACCAAUACAAAUGCAUUCUGAAUUUGAUAUGUCAUUAAAUGUAAAAAUACAGCCAAUUUGAAACAAGCAAAUGGAAAUUCCCAGGAACCAAAAACAGAAAGAAAAAUCAGAGCUACCGCAGUGCUGUCCCUGCAGACAGAAUUUGGGAGAGGUACUCAGAGUCACCUCCUGUGAGCCUAUGCAAGCCAGCUCCUGCACAACCCUGGUUUUAGUCCAGCCUUCUGCAGAAUUCCACAUUAAACAGGAUGAAGAAUAGGUUGUUAGCAGACUGAGGUACUUGGGGCAACAUUUCGUACACAACAGGAGGGAGAAACGACUCCAGAAAAACAAUCAGAUUUUGGUGAAACUGAUGUUUGCAAGUGUGAGUGAGCCCCAUGUGCUGAAGCUUCAGGAACCCCUGAGAUGGCACAAGUUCUGCCGUACUGGGCAACGGAUGGUCUUGAAGCACACAAGACACUGGAAGACAUGAGGGCAAUUGCUACACGCCAAGCCCGGUGCCAAGCACGUUGUGCAGGUUGUUUCGUUGAUUCCGGGCCUGGCCUUUGAGAUCUGUGGAGGAUACCAUGAACUGGCUGGCUCUGCAUCCUGCUUGCAGGCGCUGGCAAGCUGGAACCUGCUUUUCUACGCCACACUGCAGAGGGCCCUGAAUGUGAUCUAUGAUUGCAACAAGCAGCCCUGAUGCGGAUCCGGAGGGCAGGGAUGACGUGGGGGCUGCCUUUCUGGUUGACCUGCUGGUAAGCAUGGCCUCAUGGAUCUAUCACCAACAGCACCCAGUCACUUGGGGAGGCCGAGUGGCAGGGCUGGGGCAUCCAUCAGGGUUUGAUUUUGCUUAUGUGGACCGGCAGGUGCAGCACAGCUGCAUUUUAGUGCAGGGCUUCCUGAUCCUGCUGCACAGCUAACACCGUUCUUCCCGAAGGCAGCAGCUCCCCCACGGGGCUGUUUCCCCAGUUCUGGGCAUCAGUCCCAGAGGCAAAGACGGGAGCCAUCCACUCUGACUCUGCCAACAAUUCUGUGAGCACCCAGUUCUCUGUAUGAAAUUCCUUUCUGCUUUAGAUAAUUAAAAUAACUUUUCUUCCCCUGCAACUGAACUGA
rnacentral:lncRNA from 1 species